GAUGAACGCUGGCGGCGUGCCUAAUACAUGCAAGUCGAGCGAACAGACGAGGAGCUUGCUCCUCUGACGUUAGCGGCGGACGGGUGAGUAACACGUGGAUAACCUACCUAUAAGACUGGGAUAACUUCGGGAAACCGGAGCUAAUACCGGAUAAUAUAUUGAACCGCAUGGUUCAAUAGUGAAAGACGGUUUUGUUGUCACUUAUAGAUGGAUCCGCGCCGCAUUAGCUAGUUGGUAAGGUAACGGCUUACCAAGGCGACGAUGCGUAGCCGACCUGAGAGGGUGAUCGGCCACACUGGAACUGAGACACGGUCCAGACUCCUACGGGAGGCAGCAGUAGGGAAUCUUCCGCAAUGGGCGAAAGCUUGACGGAGCAACGCCGCGUGAGUGAUGAAGGUCUUCGGAUCGUAAAACUCUAUUAUUAGGGAAGAACAAAUGUGUAAGUAACUAUGCACGUCUUGACGGUACCUAAUCAGAAAGCCACGGCUAACUACGUG
rnacentral:rRNA from 1 species